GCCUAUGGCUCUACCACCCUCAACAUGCCUGAUCUCAACUGAUCUUGAAAGCUAAGCAGGGCUGGGCCCAUUAGUACUUGAAUGUGAGAAAGUGAUAUAAGAUUGUGAUUAGACU
rnacentral:rRNA from 1 species